UACAGAGGUCUCAACCGUUGUUCGGAUUCAUUGGGCGUAAAGGGUGCGUAGGCGGUCGCGUAAGUCAGGUGUGAAAUCCCGGGGCUCAACCCCGGAACUGCACUUGAUACUGCGUGGCUAGGGUACUGGAGAGGAGACUGGAAUUUACGGUGUAGCAGUGAAAUGCGUAGAUAUCGUAAGGAAGACCAGUGGCGAAGGCGGCGAUCUGGGAAGAUACUGACGCUGGAGGUGACGAAAGCGUGGGGAGCAAACAGG
rnacentral:rRNA from 1 species